CACGCAGGGGGCUAGCGUUGUCCGGAUUUAUUGGGCGUAAAGAGCGUGUAGGCGGCCAGGUAGGUCUGGUGUGAAAACUCGAGGCUUAACCUCGAGAUGUCAUCGGAAACCAUUUGGCUAGAGUCCGGAAGAGGAGAGUGGAAUUCCUGGUGUAGCGGUGAAAUGCGCAGAUAUCAGGAAGAACACCAAUGGCGAAAGCAGCUCUCUGGGACGGUACUGACGCUGAGACGCGAAAGCGUGGGGAGCGAACAGG
rnacentral:rRNA from 1 species